UUGUGGAGAGAGACGCCGAAGGUGGGGCUAAUGACUGGGGUGAAGUCGUAACAAGGUAGCCGUACCGGAAGGUGCGGCUGGAUCACCUCCUAACAGGGAGACAACAAAAUGUUUAAUAUUAUUAUUUUGUCACCUUAGGUCGAUCGGUAUCUCACGUUCUUAAUUUAUUAAGAAUUUCAUUUCCUAAGUUUUUCUAGGUCACACCCAUUAUUUUUCCUGGGCCAUUAGCUCAGGUGGUUAGAGCGCACCCCUGAUAAGGGUGAGGUCCCUGGUUCAAGUCCAGGAUGGCCCAUAUCUCUAUGUUGGGGGUAUAGCUCAGUUGGUAGAGCGCCUGCUUUGCAAGCAGGAUGUCAGCGGUUCGAGUCCGCUUACCUCCACUGAUCACCACCUCUUCCAUAAUCGGUAGAAAGGAAAUUUUUUGAGUUGUGAUCAAAUUCUGAAAGAAUCUAGCUUCCUAAUGAAAUUAUUAAGAUGCUGGACUCAUUGAAUUAAUUUCAUUGUUUUCAGAGAACCUUGACAACUGCAUAGAUUAUUUUUAAAGACAAUAAGCAUCUUUAAUGAUGCAGAUUUAUUAUUUGUGCAAAUGCAUUAAUAACAAUUCUAUUAAGCUGAUGCUUCAAUAUUUGAAGUUAUUGGUCAAGCUACAA
rnacentral:misc_RNA from 1 species